AGUCGGCCUGUGCUGACUUGUUUCAUGCCUUGCCAUAGUUUCGCGCUUCAUGCCAUGCCAAUCCCACUCUGAUGAUAGUGAGAGUGAAAGAAGUCCAACAAACCGUGCUUCUGGUCCAGUAGCUCGAUCUUUUCCAGAACAUCUUUCCUCAUCUUGGCGAAACGCGCCCGCGCCUCCUGCCGACAGCGCAGCACCAGGCGGUACUCAUAAUUUCCAGUGCAGACGCGAUACAGAGGUUCUCCCAUGGCCUGGGGGAAGACACACACAUUGUCAAGCAGUACGACUACAAGACAAAGAGAAAGCGCAUGUUUCGAUGGUUCUGCCAGUCAAAAGACACAAUAUUAACCCUUGGGGAGACCUGCUGGGACCUUUCUGGGGGGUUUUUAGUGCCUUUGAAGAGGACAUCAUGAAACAGACAGUUCAUUUUAAAAGGUGAGCAGGAUGAUAUCCAGCCACAGGAGUUCUCAAAACUAGCAUUGUACGUUCUUUGCUAAGUUAUUUUUAGCACGAGCUGUUGAGUGAGUAUACUUUGGAGUUCCCGGGACCCUUUUGUCCCCUAUUGACUCCCUUUAUAACAGCCAUUUUUGAAUACUUUAAACCUGUCAUUUUAAAAUGAUUUUCCCAUGAAAACCAAAUGAAUCCAAGCAUUUCUCUGUAAGAAAUGUAAUUUGAGGUAAUUUGACCCCUCAACCGCUCGAUACCGCCAGAGUAGCAUACAUUCAUAUUAGACACAUAAUUGCUAUGGACUUGCCUCCAAAAACCAUGUUGAUGAUUUGGUCGUGACAAGAGUU